AAAAUUUCUUUAUUAACAUACUUAAAUCAUACCUUAAAACUGUCAAUAGUAUGUCAUCCUGUCUCGACGAACCCUGCUCUCUCUCUCUCUCUCUCUCUGACUACUAUAUGACAAUCAAGUUUAAUAAUGAUAAUAAUAAUAAUAAUAAUAAUAAUGAUAACAAUAAUAGAAAUCAAAUAAACAACAGGAAUACUAAAUAAAUAGGGUUAAAAAUAUCUAUUGCUAAUGUUGGCGGUUAACACACACACACACACACACACACACACACACACACACACACACACACAGAAAAAAAAGGAGAGAGAGAGAGAGAGAGCGAGCAACCCACCCCAAUCACCACCAAAUCACCAAAAAAUAAAAACACCAACACCAGCCAGCUUUCACCUCCACACACACACACACACACACACACAUACACACGCAUACACACGCACAAACACCCACCCCCCAUAGGUCCGUAAUUGCACUGGGGGGGGAGGGGGGGGCAGCGUGGAGCGAGCGAGUGGUGUCCGUUCAUCACCACUAUGUCACCACCGAUAUCGUCUUUUUCGUCACCAUUUUCCGUCACCACCAACACCACUGAAUAUGAUGAUGGUAGUGGUGGUGGUGGUGUGGUGAGCGUUUUUUCUUUUUUCUGUUUUAUUGGAGGGAUGGAAAAGGAGGAGGAAGGGGAUGGAGAGAAGGAAGAGGAGGGGUAGAAGGCAAAGGAAGGAGGAACGGAGAGAAGUUACAUAGAGGAGAGGGAAAGUGAAAAGGAAGGAAGGGAGGAAGAGAGGGUGGAAGAAGAGAAGUAAGGAAAGACAUGAUAGGAAGGAGGAAUGGAGAAAAGGAAGAAAAAUGGAGAGAAAUCUAUAGAGGAAGAGGGAAGAAUAGAGGAGGAAGAGGAAAGGGAGAGGAAGGAGAGAAAUCUAUAUAGAGAGAAGGACGAGGAAGGAAGGAGAGGAAAGAAUAGAUGAGGUAAUGGAGGGAAGGAGAAGAGGAAAAUGAAGAAAAAUGGAGAGAAAUCUAUAGAAAGGAGAGGAGAUAAGGGAAGGAAGGAAGGGAGAGGAAAGAACAGAAGAAGGAAAAAGGAGAGAAAUGUAAGAGAAAGGAAGGGAGAUUUAAGAAUAGAGGAGGUAGAGGAAGAAGGGAGAAGAGGAAAGGGGAGAGGAAAGGAAUAGAACAUAGCAAAAUCAAUGAAUCAGGAACUUAACUAAUGAAGGAAUGUACACGAUGAAUGAAGGAAAAAAAGAAAAGAGAAAGAAAAUAAUAACAAUAAUCAAUGUGAACGGUCUUGAUUAUAAGAGACAAAGAACCAGAGCCACAAUAAAAAAAAAAUUAAAAAAAAAUAAAAAAAAAAAUGUGACUCGGAAAAAUUAACCAUAGAAGGGAAAUAAAAGCGAUAAAUGAUAUAAAAAAAAAAAGAUAAUUGAAAGACGGAGGACGGAUGAUUGCGUAUAAUAAUAAUCGUAAUAAUAGGAGUAAUUUGUGAUAAUCGUACUAAUAAUAAAUUCUAAUAAGGAAGGAUGGAGGGAGACGGAGAUGACGAGGCAAAAUAAAUAAUAAUCGUAAUAAUUUGAGAUGUAACUUAGAGGGAAAUAAUUAAAGGACGGGUUAAUCAAUCAUCAUAAUCAUCUUUUUUUUGUCCGUUUUCUUUUUCUAUCCAUCAAUUAUCGUCAUCAUCGAGCGUUUCAGCGACGGAAAGCUUUGGACUUGAACGGAAAUUGUGAUGAAAAGACUUAAUGAAAAAAUAGAAAGGACGGGUUAAUCUAUCAUAAUUUUUGGGGGGAGAUCAAUUUUCGCCUUCUUCUAUCCAUCAAUUAUGUUUAUUAUCGAGCGUUUCAGCGACGGAAAACUUUGGACUUGAACGGAAAUUGUGAUGAAAAGACAUAAUGAAAAAAUAGAAAGGACGGGUUAAUCUAUCAUCAUUUUUGGGGGGGGAUCAAUUUUCUCCUUCUAUCCAUCAAUUAUGUUUAUUAUCGAGCGUUUCAGCGACGGAAAACUUAGACCUUUAACGGAAAUUGAGAAGAUGAAAAAAGAAAAAUUGUGUAGUAGUAAUAUAAUUGACUUUCUUAACUCUAUUUGUUUAUCUUUAUUUUGUUAACGCACAACGGAAAGGUUGGAAAGUUUUGUUUAGUCAGCGCAACAUCUGUGGUCAUAUGCCGGAGAGAGACAGAAGGGGAAGGAAUUAUAGAAGAGAACGGAUCCCAGGAGACGGCACACAACCCCCGAUUAAUACCUGGUACCCAUUCACUGCUGGGUGGACAGGGGCGUAGGGUGUCGGAAAACUUGCUUAAAUGUUUCCACACCGCCUGGGAAUCGAACCCGGGCUCUCUUGGUUGUGAGUUGAGUAAUGGAAAUCUGAGCCUUUUUGUUACGUUAAAUGCAAAAGGUGAGGAAGGGGAGGGAAAGAAAGGAUAAAAAUGAAAACAGAAAACAGAAACGACGAUGAAAGAGGAAGAGGAGAAACAGUAAAAAAAUGAAGACAAAGAAAUGGAGAAAAAAAAAGAGAAUUAGAAAAAGCAGAAAAGUAGGAAAAGUAAUAAAUAAAUAAAAGUGUGAGAGAAAAUAAAUGAAGAUGCGAGUAAUGUGAUAAAAAGAGGAAAAGCCAAAAGGGAAAAAAUAAAAGACAUAUAAACAAGAAGAAAAAAAAUAGAUGGAAAAAAAAAAAAAAAAAAUCAAGCCACAGAACAGCGGAAGAAAGAAUAUAGGAAGAAAAGAAGACAAAGAAGGAGAGGAAAAGUUGGCAACCCACACUUCCCAGGGGCAAACAGGUGACUAGAGCAUCUGGGAGUGGUGGGUAGGGUGGGGGCCAGGUCAGGUCAGGUCAAGUUAGGAUAGGAAUAGAACAGGGCAGAGGGGGACAGUGUUAUGGUUAGGUUAGGGAAAGGAAGGAAGGGACAGGAAGGGACAGGGUUAGGUUAGGUAAGGAGGGAGAAGGAAGGGGGAGGAAAAGGAAUAGGCAGGGUUAGAUUAGGUUAGGUAAGGAGGGAGAAGGGAGGAAGAGGGAUAGGAAGAGAAGAGCAGGGCAGGAAUAAGCAGGGUUAGGUUAGGUUAGGUAAGGGAGGAAGGGACUGAAACAAGACAUGGCAGACGGGUAGGAAGGGAAGGGUAGGGAGGGUUAGGUUAGGUAAGGAGGGAGAGGGAGAGGGACAGGAACAAGACAGGGAAGAGGUUAGGUUAGGUAAGGUAAGGAAGAGCGGCAGGAACAGAAGGGCAGGGCAGGAAUAAGCAGGGUUAGGUUAUGUUAGGUUAGGUUAGACACAGGUUGGAGAGCAGGACCAGCAGGACGGAGGGCAGGAAAGGCAGGGUUAGGUUAAGUUAAGUCAGGUUAGGAGGGUAGAAGGAGACACAAACAGGAGCAAGGUGAAAGGGAACAGGGAUAGAGGGGGCAGGAAAGGCAGGGUUAGGUUAAGUUAAGUCAGGUUAGGAGGGUAGAAGGAGACACAAACAGGAGCAAGGUGAAAGGGAACAGGGGUAGAGUGAGCAGGAACAGGCAGGGUGGGAUGUGUCACGGCAGGGGGGAGCCACUACUGAAGUCCGAGGUAGUUG